rnacentral:rRNA from 1 species
GACGAACGCUGGCGGCGUGCUUAACACAUGCAAGUCGAACGGAAAGGCCCUGCUUUUGUGGGGUGCUCGAGUGGCGAACGGGUGAGUAACACGUGAGUAACCUGCCCUUGACUUUGGGAUAACUUCAGGAAACUGGGGCUAAUACCGGAUAGGAGCUCCUGCUGCAUGGUGGGGGUUGGAAAGUUUCGGCGGUUGGGGAUGGACUCGCGGCUUAUCAGCUUGUUGGUGGGGUAGUGGCUUACCAAGGCUUUGACGGGUAGCCGGCCUGAGAGGGUGACCGGCCACAUUGGGACUGAGGUACGGCCCGGACUCAUACGGGAGGCAGCGGUGGGGAAUAUUGCACAAUGGGCGGAAGCCUGGUGCAGCAACGCCGCGUGGGGGAUGGCGGCCUUCGGGUUGUAAACCGCUUUCGCCUGUGACGAAGCGUGAGUGACGGUAAUGGGUAAAGAAGCACCGGCUAACUACGG